rnacentral:rRNA from 1 species
CCUACGGGAGGCAGCAGUGAGGAAUAUUGGUCAAUGGCCGGAAGGCUGAACCAGCCAUGCCGCGUGAAGGUCAGUGCCCUAUGGGCGUUAAACUUCUUUUGUGCGGGAGCAAUAAUGGUCACGUGUGGCCAGACGAGAGUACCGUACGAAUAAGCAUCGGCUAACUCCGUGCCAGCAGCCGCGGUAAUACGGGGGAUGCAAGCGGUAUCCGGAUUUAUUGGGUUUAAAGGGGGCGUAGGCUGUGAGUUAAGGCAGCGGGGAAAUGCCCCCGCUCAACGGGGUGAAGUGCCAUUGAUACUGGCUUGCUGGAGUGCGUAUGCCGUAGGAGGAAUGUGUGGUGUAGCGGUGAAAUGCAUAGAUAUCACACAGAACACCGAUUGCGAAGGCAUCUCACGAAUCCGCGAUUGACGCUGAUGCACGAAAGCGUGGGUAUCAAACAGGAUUAGAUACCCCAGUAGUC